rnacentral:rRNA from 1 species
UACGGAGGGAGCUAGCGUUGUUCGGAAUUACUGGGCGUAAAGCGCACGUAGGCGGCUUUGUAAGUUAGAGGUGAAAGCCUGGGGCUCAACCCCAGAAUUGCCUUUAAGACUGCAUCGCUUGAAUCCAGGAGAGGUGAGUGGAAUUCCGAGUGUAGAGGUGAAAUUCGUAGAUAUUCGGAAGAACAUCAGUGGCGAAGGCGGCUCACUGGACUGGUAUUGACGCUGAGGUGCGAAAGCGUGGGGAGCAAACAGG